CUACGUAGGUGGCAAGCGUUGUCCGGAAUUAUUGGGCGUAAAGCGCGCGCAGGUGGUUCCUUAAGUCUGAUGUGAAAGCCCCCGGCUCAACCGGGGAGGGUCAUUGGAAACUGGGGAACUUGAGUGCAGAAGAGGAUAGUGGAAUUCCAAGUGUAGCGGUGAAAUGCGUAGAGAUUUGGAGGAACACCAGUGGCGAAGGCGACCGUCUGGUCUGUAACUGACACUGAGGCGCGAAAGCGUGGGGAGCAAACAGGAUUAGAUACCCUGGUAGUCCACGCCGUAAACGAUGAGUGCUAAGUGUUGGGGGGUUUCCGCCCCUCAGUGCUGCAGCUAACGCAUUAAGCACUCCGCCUGGGGAGUACGGUCGCAAGACUGAAACUCAAAUGAAUUGGCGGGG
rnacentral:rRNA from 1 species